AAAAGAAUCUUUCUAGAAUCUAAUUAAGAAGCUAGAAAUUGUUACGAAAGUUUGUUGAAUUUUUUUAAAUAUUGCACACGGUUUGAAACGUGGAUUUAUUCGGCUUUC